CUCUUGUGCUCUCUAAGUCUCUAAGAACACAGAGAAAGAAAAACUGACUAGACACUUUCACUCGUGAUUUAGGGCGAUUUAGAGAUGGAUUUUAAAUAUGUUGAAGUUGAAGAAAAGAUGGUCAAGGUAAAAUAAUUCAUCUUAGUAGCAAACAAGGAGGAGAUGACGUGAUUGAAGAAUUUGUGUUUCGAUCUUCGCUGUCCUUUUUAGGUUAUGGCUGAAGUGCCAGUGCUUUUGCAGGGGCCCCACGACGUCAGCCACCGUUAUCACCUAUUCUUGAAAACAAAUAAUGAUGAUGAUCCUCGGACUUUCAGACUUCGAACCGUAAAGAACACAUGGUCAAUACACGAUUCUUUCAUUCCUCACCUUGAGGCUUAUGGACUACAUGGUUAUGCUAGGUUCGCAUCAUCCGAAGACCAAUUACGUUCGGAUCCAUCCCUUUUGACAUCUCUCAUUGACCGGUGGAGACCUGAAACCCACACCUUUCACUUUCGUCUUGGGGAGCUUGCACCUGCACUGAAAGAUGUUUCUAUCAUCACUGCUCUACCAAUUAGAGGUGAGCUGUUAGUCUCUCCGCCAGUGACUCCAUCUUGGGCAUUAAAUAUCUCAGCCCGUCUUGGGAUGACAAUGCCAGAAUCACAAUGUUCUGGUGGCCCUCAGGGCGUCCCACUCGCCUGGCUUCGUGCAAACUUUCAUUGUUUAUCUAACCAGCUGAUUCUGAGACGAGGAAAAGGCAUAUGUUUGCAUAUUUGUUGUGGCUACUCGGGACUAUGUUUCCAAAUUCACACGGGGACGUAGUUCUCCCUGGUCUCAUCUACUUUGUAGAGAAUAUGGUAGAUGAAUCUUUACCUCAGCAUCCAAAAUACAGCUUCGGUUCUGCCAUGCUAUGUCAUACAUAUAGAGGCUUGUGUGAUGCCACACAAAAAACUUCAUUCACAGAAAAAGCUCCGUUACUUUGUGUCGCCUACGAGUUUCUACAAUUGUGGUACUGGGAAUACCUCCCUGUUGGACGACCUCGUAUACUAGAUCCCAUACACCCAUACAACUGUAGCGAGGGCAAUGUAACAAUGGCCAGCAGGUUG